rnacentral:rRNA from 1 species
UACGUAGGGUGCGAGCGUUGUCCGGAAUUAUUGGGCGUAAAGAGCUCGUAGGCGGUGUGUCGCGUCGGCCGUGAAAACCUGCAGCUUAACUGUGGGCUUGCGGUCGAUACGGGCAUCACUGGAGUUCGGCAGGGGGAGACUGGAAUUCCUGGUGUAGCGGUGAAAUGCGCAGAUAUCAGGAGGAACACCGGUGGCGAAGGCGGGUCUCUGGGCAGUAACUGACGCUGAGGAGCGAAAGCGUGGGGAGCGAACAGG